GCAUUACUGACUUGUACGUUAUAUUUGUACCAUGUACAUGGAGUGCUUAUAUGGUUUUUGUUUUUUAGACACGUUUGCUUCAUUGUUGAGUUGUACAGUACAACCCAACCAUGCAUUGAAGAGUUGUACGAAAACGUACUAUCGGCUUAUGCUUGUACUGAAAAAUGAAGAUGACAAAUCACAUAUAUAUCAUGUUCAUUUAAGAACUCAUACGCUUUUUAGAUGCCUAAGUAGUCCACUAAAUCAAUAUUUGAUGCAGAGUUUAGUUGUACCGUACAACACAUUAAUGCAGCGGGAUGAAAAAAACAGAAGCAUGGUUGAUUUGUACAAUAUAGCCCAUCACCUAUAAUAGCCUAUGCUAUGCAUUGUAGGUCCCACGUAAAAUUAUUUUCUUCAUUUUCUAUUUGUACCAUGUACAUGUAGAUAUGUGGAUGCGUUUUUAGUUGUAAUGUACAACCCAACAAUGCAGGUUCUUUAUGUAAAUGCAUAUAUACGUAGAGAGAGAGAGAGAGAGAGAGAGAGAGAAUAUACCCGGAAGAGGAGUGGCACCCAAGAGUGUAUCAACGCCCUUGUACUUGCAAGCCUUGCAGUAAACAACACCCUGAACAGCCACCAACUUCCUCGCCGGGAUCGGAGCUAGGAACGGUGCCGGUGAGGAACUCGGUGGGUGAACAGGUGCCUUGGUGGGUGCCUGAACAGGUGCUUUAGUGGGUGGGUGAACCGGAGCAUGAACAGGAGCUUUCGUCGGCGCGUGAGCCAUGGGAGGCGAAGCAAGUUUGUGAUGGUGACCAACACCAGGUUUGUGGUGGUGGUGAUGGUGGUGAGGUGCCGGAGCUGCCACUGGUUGGUACGACGGAGCGUGGUGUGGCGCUUGUGUCCAGCUGACAUU
rnacentral:lncRNA from 1 species